AUUGAACGCUGGCGGCAGGCCUAACACAUGCAAGUCGAGCGGAGCGGCGGACGGGUGAGUAAUGCCUAGGAAUCUGCCUGGUAGUGUGGGAUAACGUCCGGAAACGGGCGCUAAUACCGCAUACUAUCAGAUGAGCCUAGGGCGGAUUAGCUAGUUGGUGGGGUAAGGGCCUACCAGGGCGACGAUCCGUAACUGGUCUGAGAGGAUGACCAGUCACAUUGGAACUGAGACACGUUCCAGACUCGUACGGGAGGCGGAAGUGGGGAAUAUUGGACAAUGUGCUAAAGCCUGAUCCAGCCAUGCCGCGUGUGUGAAGAAGGUCUUCGGUUUGUAAAGCACUUUAAGUUGGGAGGCGUUACCAACAGAGUAAGCACCGGCUAACUUCGUGCCAGCCGCCGCGGUAAUUC
rnacentral:rRNA from 1 species